rnacentral:RNase_P_RNA from 1 species
UGAGACCUCUUGAUGGCCGCGGCCGUGAUCUUCAUUGGGAUCGGCUGAGGAACUUCCGGGCUCCAUAGAGCACGAUGGCGGAUAACGUCCGCCCAGGGUGACCUGAGAGAUAGUGCAACAGAGAACAGACCGCCCGUCCUCGACGGGUAAGGGUGAAACGGCGGUGUAAGAGACCACCGGGCCUCUGGUAACAGUAGGUCGCAUGGCAAGCCUCAUCGGGAGCAAGGCCAAGCAGAUGGCGGUAAGGGCUGCUCGCCCGUGUCAUCGGGUAGGCUGCUAGAGCCUGGCGGCAACGUCAGGUCGAGAUGGAUGGCCAUCCGUGCCGUGCGUUCGCGCACGGCACGACAGAACCCGGGGUAUAAGAGGUCUCAUUUU